rfam:Pseudomassariella vexata strain CBS 129021 BCR38scaffold_6, whole genome shotgun sequence.
UCUCCCGUGGCACAAUUGGCUAGCGCGUCAGACUGUUACAUAACUGCAAUCUGGAGGCUCGUGGUUCGAGCCCACGCGGGAGAG